rnacentral:rRNA from 1 species
AAGUGGAGCAAUCCAUGAGUAAAGUGGCGACCGGGUGAGUAACACGUGACUAACCUACCUUUCAGUGGGGAAUAACCUCGGGAAACCGUGGCUAAUACCGCAUAAUGUCUUCGGACCAAAGGAGCAAUUCGCUGGAAGAGGGGGUCGCGGCCGAUUAGCUAGUUGGCGGGGUAACGGCCCACCAAGGCAAUGAUCGGUAGCCGGCCUGAGAGGGCGCACGGCCACACUGGAACUGAAACACGGUCCAGACUCCUACGGGAGGCAGCAGUGGGGAAUUUUGCGCAAUGGGGGAAACCCUGACGCAGCAACGCCGCGUGGAAGAUGAAGCCCCUUGGG